rnacentral:rRNA from 1 species
GAUGAACGCUGGCGGCGUGCUUAACACAUGCAAGUCGAGCGAAGCAGUUAAGUUGAUUUCUUCGGAUUGAUUCUUAAUUGACUGAGCGGCGGACGGGUGAGUAACGCGUGGGUGACCUGCCCCAUACCGGGGGAUAACAGCUGGAAACGGCUGCUAAUACCGCAUAAGCGCACAGAGCUGCAUGGCUCAGUGUGAAAAACUCCGGUGGUAUGGGAUGGGCCCGCGUCUGAUUAGGCAGUUGGCGGGGUAACGGCCCACCAAACCGACGAUCAGUAGCCGGCCUGAGAGGGCGACCGGCCACAUUGGGACUGAGACACGGCCCAAACUCCUACGGGAGGCAGCAGUGGGGAAUAUUGCACAAUGGGGGAAACCCUGAUGCAGCGACGCCGCGUGAGCGAAGAAGUAUUUCGGUAUGUAAAGCUCUAUCAGCAGGGAAGAUAAUGACGGUACCUGACUAAGAAGCCCCGGCUAACUACGUGCCAGCAGCCGCGGUAAUACGUAGGGGGCAAGCGUUAUCCGGAUUACUGGGUGUAAAGGGAGCGUAGACGGCAAGGCAAGUCUGAUGUGAAACCCCGGGCUUACCCCUGGGACUGCAUUGGAAACUGUCGGGCUCGAGUGCCGGAGAGGGUAGCGGAAUUCCUAGUGUAGCGGUGAAAUGCGUAGAUAUUAGGAAGAACACCAGUGGCGAAGGCGGCUUACUGGACGGUAACUGACGUUGAGGCUCGAAAGCGUGGGGAGCA